CGCCAAACAAAUACGAGCGAAAGCUUAAAACUUAAAAGACUUGACGGUACUUCAACCAACCUAGAGGAGCCUGUCCACUAACCGACAACCCACGAUCAACCCAACCAGCUCUUGCCCAUCAGCCUAUAUACCGCCGUCGUCAGCCUACCUUGUGAAAGAAGCUAAGUCGGCCAAAUAGUACCACACUAAAACGACAGGUCGAGGUGUAGCAUAUGAACUGGUUAAAGAUGGGCUACAUUUUCUAAUACAGAAAAUACGGAUACAGCCAUGAAACAAAGCCUAAGAAGGAGGAUUUAGCAGUAAGCUAGGAACAUAAUACUUAACUGAAACAAAUGCAAUGAAGUGCGUACACACCGCCCGUCAUCCCUGCCACAACAAAACAACAAUAAAUAAACCAAAACAAGCCAACACGCAGGGCAAGUCGUA
rnacentral:rRNA from 1 species